ensembl:lncRNA
CGAUCAUAGGGCUGUGUUUAUUAAUUUUUACAACCUUCCUGAGCAAUUGGCAUAAUAAUCUUUAUUUUCCAGGAAAAGAAAUGCAGGUUUGAAGAGCUUGAGAGACAUACCCAAGGUAGAGAAGAUGAAUCACAGAAAGGCUAAUAUUUGGCUCAAGGUCAUACAAAAUGCUAAUACAGCAUCUGGGUUCAUUGGAAACACCGGAGAAUGCAGAAAAUUCCAGGACUCCCGAAACUGGCUUGAUCAAACCCGGCCUGGCACUUAUCUACUGGGGUCAUCACGGAGGAUACAAACCCAGAGCCCAUAAUUUCAACUGCUUGUCAAUCUCUCAUCCAAAGGGCUGGAUUUUAUCUCUAAAUCCUUUUAUUACCUUUUCCAACACAAAUGCAUAACUAUAAUUAGAAUGAGUUGAUCUAGCUGGACCUUUCUUAGUACUUUCCUCUUGAUUCCCUGUCUCCUAAUUGUUUUUACAUUUUUUAUUGUUGUUUUACAUUGCACAAACACCGUAGUCUCCCUGUCAAAAUUGAAACAUUAAGAAUAUUUAGGGAGUAAAGCAUAAAAGUCUUCCUUCUUCAUCUUGUUGUACUAUCUAUACAUCUAUAGCUGUAUCUCAGAUAUUAUUUUGUAACCCAUUAUUUAAUAUCUAACUGUUCCAUACUGAUGUUAUUUGAGUUGCUCAAACUAAUUCGUAAGUAGAAGUGGUAAGGCAAUGAAAUACAAGGACAAGAAGAAUCAAGAAAAAGUAACUCCCUGAACAAUUCUCUCUGUGACAACUGUGGGAGUAUUUUGAUAACUGUUGGCAACAGGACACUGCAUGUGACGUGGGGAGGGAAAUCUUGGCAUUCAAACAAGCAAAUGGUUUGGCGACAGUUUAUUAAAUUUCUGCCAUGCUUGCAAAUGCCAGUAGCAAUUUCUCAGACUGCAGAAUUGCUACACAUGACAGGUUUGAAAAUGUUUCACAAUCGUCAUCAAAUAAUUCAUCCUUCAAAAUUAAAAAUUAUAUGAACUCUGAAUAAUCAUCACUUCUAAAACAAAUGUUCUGCUGGAGUUUAUGUAUUUCAUUUGUGCAUUUUGAAUGCUUCUCUGCUAUAGAAUGAGGAAAGCAAAGCAUCCAGAUAAAAUGAUAUGUAAUUCAGUCUUACCAGGAGAUUUCUAUCAGACUAUUAAAUCUUCUUCGGGCAAAAAUAGUCCUCGUUACUAAAUCUUCUUCAGGCAAAAAUAGUCCUGGCUUCUUCUUUUAUUUAUAGCUAUAAAUGCCUACCUUUUAAAAGACUUUAACAUUACACUUGAAGGAGCUAAAAUAAGAAGAGAAAACUAAACCCAAAGCUAGUAGAAAAAAGCAAAUUAUAUAGAUUCAAGCAAAAACCAAUGAAAUAGAUACUAGAGAAACAAUACAGAAAAUCCAAACAAAAAGUUGAUUUUUUGAGAUGUUAAACAAAAUUGGCAACUCUUCAGCUACUGACAAAGAAAAGAGAAUAUAUAAAUUAUUAAAAAUCAGUAAUGAAAGUGGUCGCAUCACUACCAAUCUUACAGAAAUAAAAUGGAUUAUAAGGAAAAUGAUGAACAACUGUAUGCUAACAACUUAGAAAACUUGGAGGAAAUGGCCAAAUUCCUAGAAAGAUACAACUACCAAAAGUGGAGUGGAAGAAAUAGAAAGUCUGAAUAGGCCUACACGAAAUAAAGUACUCAAAUUAGUCAUUUUAAAAUUUUCCACCAGAAAAAGACCAGGUCCAGAUGGCUUUACUGAAAAGAUCUGCAAAACAUUCAAAGGAGAAUUAAUACCAGUUCCUUACAAACUCUUUCAAAAGGUAGAAGAAGGGGGAACACUUUCUAACUCACUUUAUGAGGCCAGAACUAGAAUUACCCUGAUGCCAAAACCAAAGGAAUCACAAGGGAACGGAACAAAGUAAAACUACAGACCCACAGCCCUUAGGAAUAUAGAAGCAAAACUCCUCAACAGAAUAUUAGCAAACUUAACCCAGCAACAUAUACAAACAUUUUAACAUAUCAAUGUAAUCAACGUGUAAUAUGCCAUGUAAUAGAAUAAAGAAUAAAAACUACAUGAUCAUCUAAAUGAAUACAAAAAAGAUGUUUUACAACAUCCAACACCCUUUCAUGAUUUAAAAAAAAUGCUCAAUAAAUUAGGCAUAGAAGGGAAAUUGCUCAACCUCAUAAACAUUCAACAAACUAGGAAGAAGCAUGAAAAGCAGUGACAUGCCCAACAUCAUUAACCUCAAGGAAAUGCACAUAAAAGCACAAUGAGAUACUACUUUAUACCUGCUAGGAUGGCUAUAACAAAAGAGGCAGAUAUUAACAAGUAUUAGUGAGGAGGUAGAUAUAUUGGAACCCUCACACACUGCCUGUGGGAAUGUUAAGUAGUAGAGCUUCUUUAGAAAACAGGCUGGCAUUUCUUCAAAAUGUUGAACAUGGAGUUAUCAUAUAACCUAGCAAUUCAAUUUCUACAUAAAUACCAAGAGAGUCCAGGUACAGUGGUUCAUAUAUAUAGUUCCAGCACUUUGGGAGGCUGACGCGAGAGUAUCACUUGAGCCCAGAAGUUUGAGACCAGCCUCGGCAACAUAGUGAGACUCUGUCUCUUAAAAAAGAAAAACAGACCAGGCACGGUGGCUCAUGCCUGUAAUCCCAGCACUUUGGGAGGCCGAGGCAGGUGGAUCACGAGGUCAAGAGAUCAAGACCAUCCUGGCCAACAUGGUGAAACCCCGUCUCUACUAAAAAUACAACAACAAAAAAAUAGCUGGGCACGGUGAUGCGUGCCUGUAAUCCCAGUACUCAGGAGGCUGAGGCAGGAGAAUUGCCUGAACCCAGGAGGUGGAGGUUGCGGUGAGCCGAGAUUGCGCCAUUGCACUCCAGCCUGGGUAACAAGAGCAAAACUCCAUCUCAAAAAAAAAAAGAAAGAAAGAAAAAAAGAAGAAGAAAAACAAAACCAAGAGAAAUGAAAAUGUAUGUCUAUAUUAAAAAUAGUACAUACAUAUUCACAGCAGUAUUAUUCAUAGUAGACAAAAAGUGGAAAUAAACCAACUGCCCAUCAACUGAUGGAUGGGAAACAGAAUAUGGUAUAUCCAUACAACGUAAUAGUAUUCACAAAUAAAAAGAAAUGAAGUACUGAUAUAUGCUAUGACAUGGAUGAAUCUGGAAAAUAUUAUGUUAAAUGCAAGAAAUCCAUCACAAAAAAAAACAUGUAUCGUAAUAUUUCACUUCCAUUAAAUGUACAGAAUAGGGAAAGCUACAGAGACAGAAAGUAGAUAUGUAGCUGAUUAAGACUGGAGAAGUGGGCUGGGAAACAGGGAUUGACUGCUAAUGGGUACUAGGUUUCUUCUAGGAGGGACCAAAAUGUUCUAAAACUACAUGCAGUGAUGGUUGCACAUCCCUGUAAAUAUAUUAAACAAUAUUAUAUUUACACUUUAAAUGGGCGAAUUGUAUGGUAUGUGAAUUACAUCUCAAUAAAGCUGUUAAGAAAAUUUCUGACCUGUUUGGCUGAACUUCAGAGAGGAUGCCUAAUUGCUAGUCUGUUAGUCAUGACGCUUGCC